rnacentral:rRNA from 16 species
UUCUGCGCCACGUGACAAGGAUGACCCGCGUCCGUGAUCUAUUUUCGCGCCAUCAGAACUCCGAAGUUGAGCGUGCUUGGGCGAGAGUAGUACUAGGAUGGGUGACCUCCUGGGAAGUCCUCGUGUUGCAUUCC